rnacentral:rRNA from 1 species
AGAGUUUGAUCCUGGCUCAGGAUGAACGCUAGCGGCAGGCUUAACACAUGCAAGUCGAGGGGUAUGCUUCUUCGGAAGUAGAGACCGGCGCACGGGUGCGUAACGCGUAUGCAAUCUACCUUUUACAGAGGGAUAGCCCAGAGAAAUUUGGAUUAAUACCUCAUAGUAUUAUGAAAUGGCAUCAUUUUAUAAUUAAAGUCACAACGGUAAAAGAUGAGCAUGCGUCCCAUUAGCUAGUUGGUAAGGUAACGGCUUACCAAGGCUACGAUGGGUAGGGGUCCUGAGAGGGAGAUCCCCCACACUGGUACUGAGACACGGACCAGACUCCUACGGGAGGCAGCAGUGAGGAAUAUUGGACAAUGGGCGCAAGCCUGAUCCAGCCAUGCCGCGUGCAGGAUGACGGUCCUAUGGAUUGUAAACUGCUUUUAUACGAGAAGAAACACUGCUACGUGUAGCAGCUUGACGGUAUCGUAAGAAUAAGGAUCGGCUAACUCCGUGCCAGCAGCCGCGGUAAUACGGAGGAUCCAAGCGUUAUCCGGAAUCAUUGGGUUUAAAGGGUCCGUAGGCGGUUUAAUAAGUCAGUGGUGAAAGCCCAUCGCUCAACGGUGGAACGGCCAUUGAUACUGUUAAACUUGAAUUAUUAGGAAGUAACUAGAAUAUGUAGUGUAGCGGUGAAAUGCUUAGAGAUUACAUGGAAUACCAAUUGCGAAGGCAGGUUACUACUAAUGGAUUGACGCUGAUGGACGAAAGCGUGGGUAGCGAACAGGAUUAGAUACCCUGGUAGUCCACGCCGUAAACGAUGGAUACUAGCUGUUGGGAGCAAUCUCAGUGGCUAAGCGAAAGUGAUAAGUAUCCCACCUGGGGAGUACGUUCGCAAGAAUGAAACUCAAAGGAAUUGACGGGGGCCCGCAC